AUACGGAGGAUCCAAGCGUUAUACGGAAUCAUUGGGUUUAAAGGGUCCGUAGGCGGGUUUGUAAGUCAGUGGUGAAAGUUUUCGGCUCAACCGGAAAAUUGCCAUUGAUACUGCAAGUCUUGAAUCAUUAUGAAGUGGUUAGAAUGUGUAGUGUAGCGGUGAAAUGCAUAGAUAUUACACAGAAUACCGAUUGCGAAGGCAGAUCACUAAUAAUGUAUUGACGCUAAGGGACGAAAGCGUGGGUAGCGAACAGGAGUAGAAACCCCGGUAGUCC
rnacentral:rRNA from 1 species